CUGGCCUCUUGUGCCCUGCACAUGUGGCCAUGGAGCCUCUGCAGGAGAGUCAUGGAACAUUCCACCCGAAGGUGACCUUGAGGAAGGCAUCCAUCGGGACAUCUGCAAAGUAGAUUCUCGUCUUUCAGUCUGUGUCAUUUGAGUAUCGUCUGCUACAGAGAGGCACUUAGAUAAGGAAACAGGAAUUUUCCGAUCCCCGUCCCCCUCCCGCCCCCGCAGCACCAAUGGCCAUGACUUCCAUGGUAAGAUCACAUCAGGUCUCAAUGUUCAUGACGUUGGUCCAGCGCGUUGCUCCCGUGUAGGGGUGGGGGUGGCGCAUAAGGCUGGUUUUUCCCAGGCUCUGGGCAAUAAGGACUAGAAGGAUUGAGAACAACUCCAGCUCUGCUCUUCCCAGAAACAGAUGUGAUCACAGA